AAUCAACGCUGGCGGCGCGCUUAACACAUGCAAGUCGAACGAGAAAGCCCGCAAGGGUGAGUAAAGUGGCGUACGGGUGAGUAACACGUGGGUAAUCUGCCUUUUUGGUGGGGAAUAACCCUGGGAAACCGGGGCUAAUACCGCAUAAGCUCGAAAGAGGAAAAGAGAAAUCUGCCGAAAGAGGAGCCCGCGGCUGAUUAGCUAGUUGGUGAGGUAAAGGCUCACCAAGGCGAAGAUCGGUAGCCGGCCUGAGAGGGCACACGGCCACACUGGCACUGAAACACGGGCCAGACUCCUACGGGAGGCAGCAGUGGGGAAUCUUGCACAAUGGGGGAAACCUGAUGCAGCGACGCCGCGUGAGCGAUGAAGCCCUUCGGGGUGUAAAGCUCUUCGACCGGAACGAUAAUGACGGUACCGGGCAGAAGAAGCUGCGCUAACUACGGUGCCAGCAGCCGCGGUAAUACGUAGGCAGCGAGCGUUGUUCGGAGUUACUGGGCGUAAAAGCGUGCGUAGGCGGUUUUGUAAGUUUGGUGUGAAAAUCUCCCGGCUCAACUGGGAGGGUGCGCCGAAAACUGCAAGGCUGGAGUG
rnacentral:rRNA from 1 species